rnacentral:rRNA from 1 species
UGCGNNUGGGCGGAAGCCUGACGCAGCGACGCCGCGUGGGGGAUGAAGGCCUUCGGGUUGUAAACCUCUUUCAGCAGGGGCGAAGGGUGACUGACGGUACCUGCAGAAGAAGCGCCGGCUAACUACGUGCCAGCAGCCGCGGUAAUACGUAGGGCGCAAGCGUUGUCCGGAAUUAUUGGGCGUAAAGAGCUCGUAGGCGGCCUGUCGCGUCUGCUGUGAAAUCCCGGGGCUUAACCCCGGGCGUGCAGUGGAUACGGGCUGGCUGGAGGCAGGCAGGGGAGAAUGGAAUUCCCGGUGUAGCGGUGAAAUGCGCAGAUAUCGGGAGGAACACCGGUGGCGAAGGCGGUUCUCUGGGCCUGUUCUGACGCUGAGGAGCGAAAGCGUGGGGAGCGAACAGGAUUAGAUACCCUGGUAGUCCACGCCGUAAACGUUGGGCGCUAGGUGUGGGUCCCUUCCACGGGGUCUGUGCCGCAGCUAACGCAUUAAGCGCCCCGCCUGGGGAGUACGGCCGCAAGGCUAAAACUCAAAAAAAUUGACGGA